UUUUUUUUUUUUUACAUACAUCUUCGAUAAGAUUUUGUGUUAAAAGUGGCGACGGCAAACUCUCUAUGGCUUAGACUAUAAUUAGAACAUUUCUGCUAUUGGUUCUCACUUUCGGUUUGCUGGUGUUUUGAUUUUUUCAUAGUGAAGGUGCCUAAGGAAAGGGUCAGGGAUAAGGAUGAGUCAGCAGAGAAUCCAAGCCUUUGUGACUUAUAUUCAAAUAUCUGCAAUGUGUACGGCGGUAGACUGGUUUUACUUGUAGAAUAAUAAAUGACAAAGAGCUUGAGUGAGAUAUAAGGAGUGAUGAAGGAGCUACAUAAACUAUAGCGAGCUGCAUGAAGUAGUGAGAUACAUGAAGUAGCUAUAUGAAGGAGUGAUGAAAAAGCUAUAUGAAAGUGAUGACAAAGCUAUAUGAAGGAGUGAUGAAGGAGCUACAUACAUUACAUUGUAUAUACAAAAGGGAAGAUGUUUUUAUCUGCACGUCUUUGAAAGAAUUCAAGUCUGCAUUCGGAGUUUGAGGACUAGUGUUAAUAUGUUCAAACAGAUAUCUUAGGUUUGUAAUGAAUGUAUUGGCUUUAUCACAUUGAUCUUAUAUACGUUUGUUUUUAUUAAUGAU